CGACCCCAGGUCAGGUGGGACUACCCGCUGAGUUUAA
rnacentral:rRNA from 1 species